GGAAACUGUUAGAAAAAUAACAAUAACAAUGGCAAUAGGCUUCGAUCGUAUAGUCACUCUCCUUAAGAAAAUUAUGCCUCCCACUAUGUUAUGGGCAAUUUGAGCAAAUCCCUCUAGGAUAACAAAGCCAAAAUAGAAUUCUAGACAACAAUUUUAGAAUUUUUCCAAGAACGAAUUAAAAAAUAAUAAUGUUGAUUGUAAGUAG
rnacentral:misc_RNA from 1 species